rnacentral:rRNA from 1 species
UACGGGGGGGGCAAGCGUUGUUCGGAAUUACUGGGCGUAAAGGGCUCGUAGGCGGCCAACUAAGUCAGACGUGAAAUCCCUCGGCUUAACCGGGGAACUGCGUCUGAUACUGGAUGGCUUGGAUCCGGGAGAGGGAUGCGGAAUUCCAGGUGUAGCGGUGAAAUGCGUAGAUAUCUGGAGGAACACCGGUGGCGAAGGCGGCAUCCUGGACCGGCAUUGACGCUGAGGAGCGAAAGCCAGGGGAGCAAACGGG